GGCGGCGUGCUUAACACAUGCAAGUCGAACGAAGAGAGAUGGAAGCUUGCUUCUGUCAAUCUUAGUGGCGAACGGGUGAGUAACGCGUAAUCAACCUGCCCUUCAGAGGGGGACAACAGUUGGAAACGACUGCUAAUACCGCAUACGAUCCAAUCUGGCAUCGAGAGUGGAUGAAAGGUGGCCUCUAUUUAUAAGCUAUCACUGAAGGAGGGGAUUGCGUCUGAUUAGCUAGUUGGAGGGGUAACGGCCCACCAAGGCGAUGAUCAGUAGCCGGUCUGAGAGGAUGAACGGCCACAUUGGGACUGAGACACGGCCCAGACUCCUACGGGAGGCAGCAGUGGGGAAUCUUCCGCAAUGGACGAAAGUCUGACGGAGCAACGCCGCGUGAGUGAUGACGGCCUUCGGGUUGUAAAGCUCUGUUAAUCGGGACGAAUGGUUCUUGUGCAAAUAGUGCAAAGGA
rnacentral:rRNA from 1 species